AGUAACGAUCCGGAAACGGGUGCUAUACCGCAUAGUUUUCUUGAUUGCAUGAUUGAGAAAGGAAAGACGGCCUUUGUGCUGUCGCUUAUGGAUGGACCCGCGGCGUAUUAGUUAGUUGGUGAGGUAACGGCUCACCAAGACGAUGAUACGUAGCCGACCUGAGAGGGUGAUCGGCCACAUUGGGACUGAGACACGGCCCAAACUCCUACGGGAGGCAGCAGUAGGGAAUCUUCCGCAAUGGACGAAAGUCUGACGGAGCAACGCCGCGUGAGUGAAGAAGGGUUUUUUACCGGAUCGUAAAAACUCUGUUGUCAGAGAAGAACAAGUUGGAGAGUAACUGCUCCAGCCUUGACGGUAUCUGACCAGAAAGCCACGGCUAACUACGUGCCAGCAGCAGC
rnacentral:rRNA from 1 species